rnacentral:rRNA from 1 species
AACGAACGCUGGCGGCAGGCCUAACACAUGCAAGUCGAGCGAGGACUUCGGUUCUAGCGGCGGACGGGUGAGUAACGCGUGGGAAUGUGCCCUUCUCUACGGAAUAGCCCUGGGAAACUGGGAGUAAUACCGUAUACGCCCUAUUGGGGAAAGAUUUAUCGGAGAAGGAUCAGCCCGCGUUGGAUUAGGUAGUUGGUGGGGUAAUGGCCUACCAAGCCGACGAUCCAUAGCUGGUUUGAGAGGAUGAUCAGCCACACUGGGACUGAGACACGGCCCAGACUCCUACGGGAGGCAGCAGUGGGGAAUCUUAGACAAUGGGGGCAACCCUGAACGAGCCAUGCCGCGUGAGUGAUGAAGGCCUUAGGGUUGUAAAGCUCUUUCAGCUGGGAAGAUAAUGACGGUACCAGCAGAAGAAGCCCCGGCUAACUCCGUG